rnacentral:rRNA from 1 species
UGUGCCAGCAGCCGCGGUGAUACAGAGGGUGCAAGCGUUAAUCGGAAUUACUGGGCGUAAAGCGAGCGUAGGUGGCUUGAUAAGUCAGAUGUGAAAGCCCCGGGCUUAACCUGGGAACGGCAUCUGAUACUGUUAGGCUAGAGUAGGUGAGAGGAAGGUAGAAUUCCAGGUGUAGCGGUGAAAUGCGUAGAGAUCUGGAGGAAUACCGAUGGCGAAGGCAGCCUUCUGGCAUCAUACUGACACUGAGGUUCGAAAGCGUGGGUAGCAAACAGGAUUAGAUACCAUGGUAGUCCACGCCGUAAACGAUGUCUACUAGUCGUUGGGUCCCUUGAGGACUUAGUGACGCAGCUAACGCAAUAAGUAGACCGCCUGGGGAGUACGCCCGCAAGGUUAAAACUCAAAUGAAUUGACGGGGGCCCGCACAAGCGGUGGAGCAUGUGGUUUAAUUCGAUGCAACGCGAAGAAACUUACCUGGUCUUGACAUAUCUAGAAUCCUGCAGAGAUGCGCGAGUGCCUUCGGGAAUUAGAAUACAGGUGCUGCAUGGCUGUCGUCACCUCGUGUCGCGAGAUGUUGGGUUAAGUCCCGCAACGAGCGCAACCCUUGUCCUUAGUUACCAGCGGUUUGGCCGGGAACUCUAAGGAUACUGCCAGUGACAAACUGGAGGAAGGCGGGGACGACGUCAAGUCAUCAUGGCCCUUACGACCAGGGCUACACACGUGCUACAAUGGUAGGUACAGAGGGCAGCUACACAGCGAUGUGAUGCGAAUCUCAAAAAGCCUAUCGUAGUCCAGAUUGGAGUCUGCAACUCGACUCCAUGAAGUAGGAAUCGCUAGUAAUCGCGGAUCAGAAUGCCGCGGUGAAUACGUUCCCGGGCCUUGUACACACCGCCCGUCACACCAUGGGAGUUGAUUGCACCAGAAGUGGGUAGCCUAACCUUUUAGGAUGGCGCUCACCACGGUGUGGUUGAUGACUGGGGUGAAGUCGUAACAAGGUAACCG